GUGGUGGCUCAGUGGCAGAGUGAUUGCUUCGCACCCUCAAGGCACUGGGUUCGAUCCUCAGCACCACA
rnacentral:tRNA from 1 species